rnacentral:rRNA from 1 species
CACGUAGGGCGCAAGCGUUGUCCGGAAUUAUUGGGCGUAAAGAGCUCGUAGGCGGUCUGUUGCGUCAGCUGUGAAAACUCGAGGCUCAACCUCGAGACGUCGGUUGAAACCAUCUGGCUAGAGUCCGGAAGAGGAGAGUGGAAUUCCCGGUGAUAGCGGUGAAAUGCGCAGAUAUCGGGGAAGAACACCCGUGGCGAAGGCGGCUCUCUGGGACGGUACUGACGCGUGAGACGCGAAAAGCGUGGGGAGCGAACAGG